CACACCAAGUCCUAGUUCACCCCACUCCCCAUGAAUUCAGCUGCCUUUAACCACUCUGCUCUGUAAAGCCUGACCUCCAGACUGGAAGAAUGAGGAAAGUCGUGGAUGCAGAAUGUGGUGAGAUCUCAGAAAGCAUUAAAGAGAAACUGAAUUUCCACCCAACCAUGAUGCACGCUCUUUAUUCAUGACACUAAGAGGAAAUACAUUGUCGGCUCAGUCUUCAGAUGUAAUCGGAGAAGAGCAGUGAGGACCAACCCAUCUAUGUCACAGUGUCCACUUGAGAUGAGCAUACCCCAGUCUCCCAUGUGUAUUCCACGCCAGAAGGGUCACCUUAACAGCUAAAAAAUACAGGGGAAAUUCUUCAGAAAUAGGGAUGCUCUGGUCUCAGCAGUCUUCGCCUGAUCCUCGUUGACUACACAAACAGACACAGAUGUUCCACUCACCAGCAAAAGUCAACUCCAAAUGGCAGACCUAAUCCAUCUGUAAACUCUGGAAUAGAGUCUGGCAAAUAGUGGACAUUGAAUAAAUCUUU